ACGGAAGGCAGCAGUGGGGAAUAUUGGGCAAUGGGCGAAAGCCUGACCCAGCAACGCCGCGUGAAGGAAGAAGGUUUUCAGAUUGUAAACUUCUGUCCUUGGUGACGAAGGAAGUGACGGUAGCCAAGGAGGAAGCCCCGGCUAACUACGUGCCAGCAGCCGCGGUAAUACGUAGGGGGCAAGCGUUAUCCGGAUUUACUGGGUGUAAAGGGAGCGUAGACGGCGAAGCAAGUCUGAUGUGAAAGGCAGGGGCUCAACCCCUGGACUGCAUUGGAAACUGUUUGGCUAGAGUGCAGGAGAGGUAAGUGGAAUUCCUAGUGUAGCGGUGAAAUGCGUAGAUAUUAGGAGGAACACCAGUGGCGAAGGCGGCUUACUGGACUGUAACUGACGUUGAGGCUCGAAAGCGUGGGGAGCAAACAGGAUUAGAUACCCUGGUA
rnacentral:rRNA from 1 species